AAGGAGACACACUGGUUUCUGAGAAGGGUGGCCAGGGCUGAGGGCCCAGCAGUCACUGGGCUCAUGUGACCCUCUGCUCUUAUGAAAGGGAACUGAGGAAUUCUAAAGUCGAGAAACAGUCAGGACAAAUGUCAGCCAAUGUAAGGUACUUGCCUACCCAUGGUUAAUGUGGCCAGGAACCAGCCACGUCCCUGGGUCCUGCCUUCCAGUAGCACAUCCACACAUCCACUGCCACGCUUGUGGGCAGGGGACCCGGGGAAUGGAGAGAGCCCAGUGCUGGAAGAUUUCACAGGCCAUCACCUGAGACCCAGACUCAUGGCCCCAACAUCCUUCCUGUAAGAUUCUCUGCAGCCAACCUCUGCAAAGGGGCAGUGAGGGCAUGGGUGACCUCUGUGCCUUCCCCCUCUGGAAAUGUCCCUACUUACCCCAGGAUUCACUCACUCCCAACUUCCACCCUUUGUAUCUUAAUGCUACACAGAUCCUGCCAGCAUUAGAAGGGCAUGUCCUUUUCUCUUAAAAUUAGCCUAAUUUUGAGUAUUUCAGGAAAACUAAAAAGCCAGAGUGAAAACCUAGAUUUAGAUUAGUUAAAACUGAGCAGACCCUCCUUGAGAGUCACUUAACAGUGACCAUGCAGGAGCCAGCCCCGUGGCCUGUAACCAAAAGGACACACCAAGCUAUUAGAUAAGAAGCUCCUUAAAAUUUAAUUGACUGCAUGUAUUACAUUCAGUAUCCCGUGGGUUUCUUGUGGACGGAGGACAGGCAUAAAUACGAACAGCUCUGCACCUUCUUCCCAGGCUGACGCAGAUUCGACACAGGCAGCGAGGGACACAGGCACACUUUCAUAUUUACAUCUCCUUUACUUUACAGAUCAGUGGCAGAAAUAUUUACAGAAAAUACAAUAGGAAAAAGAUCCCAUCUUGGCAAUAUACCGAAAUUCAUACAAAUUGUAAAUAUGGUUUCGAGCAAAUAAUGAUACUUAAUUUUUAGCCACAGCUGCAAAGCCCUUCAGAGGAAGAUGCCUUGGUCACUGUGGGGACAAAGAACUUGAUUUGCUUCAACAAAUAGGUAUUGGGCGCCUACUGUAUGCAAGGCACUGUGGAAUCCCAAAUUACACAUUUUCCCUCAUCACUAACAAACCUGUCUGAAGAACGAGGGUGGCUAUUCUGAGAAAACCCCACACAGUGCAUGGCUCUGCCAGCAGCAAGACCAGUGACUCCACUGUCCAGGUGGACCCUCAGGAAGAGGGGAUGUCAGGGAGUGCUGGGAACAGACCAGUGGAUGCCAAUGGUCACUGUUAACACAGAAGGUCCGGCCUGAACAGGCUUUAAAUAAUAAGGGACAACUGUUGCCAGGAGAGUGUCAAAUGACCUCCAAGACAGCUGUCACUGUCUACCCAGCUGUGCCCAAGGCUGAUGCUGUGUGUGUGUGUGUGUGUGUGUGUGUGUGUGUGUGUGUGUGUGUGUGUGUGUUGCUCCACUUUUCAACAGGAAUACACCCUGGAAAACUCAUCACUGUAGAGGUCAGUCUGCAGAACCUGAUUCUUCCCUAGCUCAGACAGGAAGCUGUUCUUCCAUGCUGUCCUACUACCUGUAAGCCAGACACCAACAGGGCCAGCCAAAGUGUAAGUAUUUUUAUAGGUAAGACCAGAGAUGGAGUUACCCUAAAAUCAGGAAGCUGGAAGAGGGAGAUGCUCAUGUAUACAUGUGCAUGGCACAUGCAUCUGUAGCUGGGCGAGGGGCUGCCCUACUACUAUAAUUAUUCUUUUCUAGGGGCCAAAGUCCAGGUCUUAAGAGGAAACUCUAGACAAAUGAGGAAGGUGGCUGCCAGGUUCAAAGAGGCUACGAGUCCCGUUUCCUGUGCUCCCAGUCAAAGGAGCAACCCCCUUCCCAACCCAGCCAGCUUCAGAAGUGAAAAGGAGAGGCCACCAGCCUAAACAACCUUAAGAAAUGUUUUCUCUUUGAGAUUGCCUGGGCAUCCAAGUAGAGCAACUGAACAGCUUAAGCCACAGUCCAGACUGGUUCCAGUGUUUCCCCAAGUGUCUGAACCGAGGCGGCAAAUGUACCAAGUGAAUGACUAAGACUAUUGUAGCAGGAGUGUGACGUGUGAGGUCCAUUCAUCAGGAAGCUGGCACUCCUCCAGCCAGUGGCUUCACCACGUGCUUCUUCUGGUGAUUCAACAGUGAGUUCUUGGGAGUGAUUCCUUUAUUUUUCACAAAUGUCUUGCUUUGAUGUCAGAGCCCAUACUGCAGUCCACUGCCCUGGACAAACUGUGCUCUAAGAACUGCAGUUUUUCAGUCCGACCUCCUGGAAAAGGGCAGUAUAAAACUCUGGCUCCAACUGCUUAUUCCGGUACUUGUUGACAAUGUCAGUGAUUUUCUGUUUCCGACGGACAUGUGGUGGACUGUAGGAAUCACUCUCCAGUCUCUUUCUUCUACAAAUGUUGAUUACAGUCUGCCGCACCAGAAAGCCUUGAAAACAGAUAAGAACGCCUGUCAGUGAGCUCACAGGCGAGCGGUGUCAGGGAACCCAUUUUCGGAAUCCCGCAACCCUCUUUCACUGCAAUCCCAUGAUUCCCACCUCAAAGACAAACAGGGCACUGAGACGAAACUGCUGAGAGACAUCAGCACAGGGCCAGAGUCAAACCUGCUCGUCCACAGCCCCUUGCCCUCUGUGCCAGAACAGCCAUUUUCUCUUCAGUUAGUUCACUCAGUGAAGGCCCACUGGUAUCACCAGAUUAAAGCUUAAACAAUGACAAUA